rnacentral:rRNA from 1 species
GUCGAGCGGUUGACGGGAGCUUGCUCCCUGAUUCAGCGGCGGACGGGUGAGUAAUGCCUAGGAAUCUGCCUAUUAGUGGGGGACAACGUUUCGAAAGGAACGCUAAUACCGCAUACGUCCUACGGGAGAAAGCAGGGGACCUUCGGGCCUUGCGCUAAUAGAUGAGCCUAGGUCGGAUUAGCUAGUUGGUGAGGUAAUGGCUCACCAAGGCGACGAUCCGUAACUGGUCUGAGAGGAUGAUCAGUCACACUGGAACUGAGACACGGUCCAGACUCCUACGGGAGGCAGCAGUGGGGAAUAUUGGACAAUGGGCGAAAGCCUGAUCCAGCCAUGCCGCGUGUGUGAAGAAGGUCUUCGGAUUGUAAAGCACUUUAAGUUGGGAGGAAGGGUUGUAGAUUAAUACUCUGCAAUUUUGACGUUACCGACAGAAUAAGCACCGGCUAACUCUGUGCCAGCAGCCGCGGUAAUACAGAGGGUGCAAGCGUUAAUCGGAAUUACUGGGCGUAAAGCGCGCGUA